GGGAAUCUUCCGCAAUGGGCGAAAGCCUGACGGAGCAACGCCGCGUGAGUGAUGAAGGUCUUAGGAUCGUAAAACUCUGUUGUUAGGGAAGAACAAAUUUGUUAGUAACUGAACAAGUCUUGACGGUACCUAACCAGAAAGCCACGGCUAACUACGUGCCAGCAGCCGCGGUAAUACGUAGGUGGCAAGCGUUAUCCGGAAUUAUUGGGCGUAAAGCGCGCGUAGGCGGUUUCUUAAGUCUGAUGUGAAAGUCCACGGCUCAACCGUGGAAGGUCAUUGGAAACUGGGGAACUUGAGUGCAGAAGAGGAGAGUGGAAUUCCAUGUGUAGCGGUGAAAUGCGCAGAGAUAUGGAGGAACACCAGUGGCGAAGGCGGCUCUCUGGUCUGUAACUGACGCUGAUGUGCGAAAGCGUGGGGAUCAAAC
rnacentral:rRNA from 1 species